GCCUGCUGAUAAGCUGGGUUUUACCAAAACAGCUAUCCAAGCAAAGCCAGACUCUGUUUAUUUUGUAGUAAACAUGGGAGCAGAGGUAGAUGUAAAAAGACUAACUAAGAGGCCUGCUCCUCCUCGAUUUGGUCGCACCUUGACUGAAGCACAAAA